GGUGUAUGCAUUUAUUGAGCUUUUGAAUCUUUUGGGUAUCUUAACAUGUGGGUGUGGUAGUUUGCUUUUUCUAACUUCUGUUUGGUUGACAAGAAAAAUAAGGAAAAUUAGUGGCAAUAAAAAUUUUAGUCUCAAAUAUUAAUUGGCGCAAAUGGAUAAGAGAUAACAAAACAAAGAUGGAAAAAAGGGUUCAACUAGGUUACACAAUUGUAUUUUUAGUUGGUCUUACCAAAUAAAGCUUCCAUUUGAUUGCAGAGAGACCACCUUCUCCCUCUUCCUCAUAGAAGUAUUGGUUAAAGUGCUAAUAAUUCAAUGACUUCAAUAUGUGAAUUUCUCUUGUUUAAAUACCUUGCCACUGAAUUCUUGCAUACUGGUAUGCUGAAAUGACCUACCCCAUUGUAAUUACAGACCAAACUUUUGCUUUGUUCAAUCACUGGACUAUUAUUCUCAAGUUGUGACCUGUAAAUUUUGUGCUGAUGUUUUCUCAUUCAUUGUAUGUAGUUUGCUCAUAGGAAGUGCA
rnacentral:misc_RNA from 1 species